rnacentral:rRNA from 1 species
CCUACGGGAGGCAGCAGUGAGGAAUAUUGGUCAAUGGGCGCAAGCCUGACCCAGCCAUGCCGCGUGCAGGAUGAAGGUGCUCUGCAUUGUAAACUGCUUUUAUACGGGGGUAAUUACAGAUACGUGUAUCUGGAUGAAUGUACCGUAUGAAUAAGGAUAGGCUAACUCCGUGCCAGCAGCCGCGGUAAUACGGAGGAUCCGAGCGUUAUCCGGAUUUAUUGGGUUUAACGGGAGCGUAGGCGGGCAGGUAAGUCAGUGGUGAAAGCUCGAUGCUCAACAUCGAAACUGCCUCUGAUACUGGCUGACUAGAGUGUAGUUGCGGAAGGCGGAAUUCGUGGUGUAGCGGUGAAAUGCUUAGAUAUCACGCAGAACACCGAUUGCGAAGGCAGCUUUC